rnacentral:rRNA from 1 species
CGCNAUUCGCCCUUCGGGGUGCAGCAGGCGCGAAAACUCCACACUGUACGACAGUACGAUGGGGUUAUCUCGAGUGCAGUCCGAUAAGGGCUGCUUUUCCAUAGAGUAAUAUCCUGUGGGAAUAAGAGGGGGGCAAGACUGGUGUCAGCCGCCGCGGUAACACCAGCCCCUCGAGUGGUGGGGACUAUUAUUUGGUCUAAAGCGUCCGUAGCUGGCUGUAUCCGUCCCCCGUUAAAUCCAGCGUCCUAAACGUUGGACUGCGGGUGAUACCAUACAGCUAGAGGGUGGGAUAGGUGAGCGGUAUUUCUGGGGUAGGGGCGAAAUCCUUUGAUCCCAGGAGGACCACCAGUGGCGAAGGCUGCUCACUAGAACACGCCUGACGGUCAGGGACGAAAGCUGGGGCAGCGAACCGGAUUAGAUACCCGGGUAGUCCCAGCUGUAAACGAUGCUAGCUAGGUGUUGGGUCGGCCACGCGCCGCCCCAGUGCCGCAGGGAAGCCGUUAAGCUAGCCACCUGGGGAGUACGGCCGCAAGGCUGAAACUUAAAGGAAUUGGCGGGGGAGCAC